rnacentral:rRNA from 1 species
AAUCAACGCUGGCGGCGUGCCUAACACAUGCAAGUCGAGCGCGAAAGGGGAGCAAUCCCCAAGUAGAGCGGCGAACGGGUGAGUAACGCGUGGGUAAUCUGCCUCCGAGUGGGGAACAACACCGGGAAACUGGUGCUAAUACCGCAUGACAUCGUUGGACCUUCGGAUCUGACGAUCAAAGACCGGGGACCGGCAAGGCCUGGCGCUUGGAGAGGAGCCCGCGUCCGAUUAGCAGUUGGUGGGGUAAGUGGCCCACCAAGGCUACGAUCGGUAGCCGGCCUGAGAGGGCGGACGGCCACACUGGGACUGAGACACGGCCCAGACUCCUACGGGAGGCAGCAGUGGGGAAUUUUCGUCAAUGGGCGAAAGCCUGACGAAGCAACGCCGCGUGGAGGAUGAAGGCCUCGGU